CACAUAUAACAUAUAUAAAAUGACCUCAUAUAUAACAUACAUGAAAUUACCCCAUAGUAGAUCUACACAGGUGGAGCUGGGGAAGGUGGAGGGUUUCUGAAGUGCGCUGCAACUGCUACAGCAAGCACUAGAUAAGUAUUGAAUGUUGAGCAGCAAGCUCAUUGGCUGCUGAUGCAAACAGAAACCAAGAUUUCACAUGGCUUCUUUAAUCCAUUUUAGAGCAUUUUCAGACUUGGAAUUAGAAAAUAUCUUCCAGUUUUUUAUUCAAAAACUCACCUUUUGAAAGAAAGGCAUAUGGAUUAGGAAAAGCAUGAGGUGAGUAAAUGCAUUUCAUAUUUGGGUGAGCUACUCCUUUAAGUCUCGUGAGCUGUGAACGAGUCACCACUGAGAAAUGCAAUUUUUCCCUGGAAUGAGUAUCUCUUUUUCUCUCUCUCACACUCUCUUUUUAGGUGUUCAGGUUGGGUUAGUCACACUGAAGUUCCCACAGUACCAUUUCUAAGUCUUGUGUUCUUUUAUGUUUGACAGACUUGUCAAAAAAAAAAAAAACACUUGAAUUUAGCUCUGAAAAUUUGAAAUGAUGUCAUGGAAAGAAAGAGAAUAAAAAAUUUGUCGCAUUUAGUUGCUAACAACUCUGUUUGUUUUGUUUUUUUCCAUAGCCAGCCAUAGCAGUUUUCUUCCGAUCUAAAACUGAUAAAGCAAUCAUAAUUUAACCUUAUAGCCUCACACUGUGAUUCAUGUUGCUAUAGCAACCAUCAUACGUGAACACGGAGCGGAUAGUGCUGAUAUCAAGAAUAAAUGGGUUUUUGUUUGUUUUCUGUUCACUUCUGUUUCUUUUAUCGCUCAUAGCCAGCUUUUUGUGCUUUGAAGCUUUACACUGAUAGCAAGUGAUAAAAUAAUUGAGAACGGACAGUUGGCAUUUUCACUUUUUGAUAGGUGCUCUCAACGUAUUGCUGACAUAUUGUCGUGAAUAUAGUUCCUUUAUUCUUCCACAAUCACACAGAAAAAGCCUCUUUAAAAAAGCAAGGAUUUGGUUGUUUGCCAAAAUCAUUAGAGGCCUCGAGCAUUCGCUGAUUGAAUGUGAGAAAAUGGUAAUUGCAUUGCUACACUUUCAUUUUCAGGCAAAAUUGUUUGUCAGGGAGCCAUUCUCUCUCCAGGUCAUGAUCUAAUCAAGUCAAAGUCAGCCGGCCCUAUUUAGACAGUCAACAUCAGGUGGACAUAAAACACAAAGUAAGAGAGGUUUAAAAAAAAAUUAGAAGAAAGAGAGAUUAAACAAGCAAGGACAAAUUAUGGUCUAAACUGCUCUCAGGAAAUUGCUCAGAUCACUGGACACCUUCUAAAUACAUCCGAAGAUAGCUACAGGCUUAUUGUUCUGGGCGCACAUAUGGUGCCACGCUCUGGUAUUCCAGUCCACUAAACAAAUUGUUUAGCUGCCAGCUGAAGCCCCGCUCACACUGACAGCAAUUUUAGCAAUGGAGGUUCAUAUACUGUUGGUUGUGAAGCCGCUCCUGCUGCGGGAUGUCCUGAUGUUAUUUGUGGGCUUUUAAAGCUUCAGAAACGUGAUCACAAAUGAGAUAAAAAAAUAAGAGAAAGAGGGCCAACACAAUGCUGCCAUCCAGCUCUUCACACUUUUAUAUAUACUCAACAGCCUUACAGACAGAGUUGCUCUAAUGUAAAGGAGUUUCUGAGGAACAACCGUGGCCUGGAUACUGAGCAGGAGGGCUGUUUCAACACAUCCCAAAACAACACUGUCCACCUCAGAUGGGAUGAAUGGAAGAGUGCGAUCAGUAUAUAGGGAUAGAUGGAGCUCACCAAAGAGGCUUGGAUGAGCUUUGCAGGGAGGUGAUGGAACUAGACUGGUUUAAAUCCAGGGAUCAGCCAUUCAGUGACUUCCACAAAUUUCCUUCUGUUGUAGGUCAUAAUGUCUGAUUAAAUUGCCCUCUGCUUCAGCACAAACGCAUUUAACAGCAGACUGAAGGUUAUGUUUUUAGCAGCGACUAGAACAACAGAAGGUCAUUUUUACGCUGGAAAAUGAAUUUAUUGCCACAACAAAAAUAAAUUAAUAUUGUACAUCAUUCAUACUAAAUAAAGAGUCAAGAGAAUAUUAUUUUGUUGCUGUUUUGAAUAUAAAGCAGU